ensembl:snRNA U6 U6 spliceosomal RNA
GUGCUAGCUUUGGCAGCACGUAUACUAAAAUUGAAAUAAUACACAGAAGAUUUGUAUGCCCCAUCUACAAGGAAGGUUUGUAAAUUUGUGAAGCAUCCCAUAUUUUU